rnacentral:rRNA from 1 species
AAAGUCUUCGGACGCCUUUAGUUGAGCCUGCGUUAGAUUAGCUUGUUGGUAAGGUAAGAGCUUACCAAGGCGAUGAUCUAUAGCCGAGCUGAGAGGCUGAUCGGCCACAUUGGAACUGAGACACGGUCCAGACUCCUACGGGAGGCAGCAGCUAAGAAUCUUCCGCAAUGGUCGCAAGACUGACGGAGCGACGCCGCGUGAACGAUGAAGGCCCUUCGGGUUGUAAAGUUCUUUUAUAAGAGACGAAUGUUUGAUGCAGGUCAAUCUGACUGUAUCUUAUGAAUAAGGUCCGGCUAACUACGUGCCAGCAGCCGCGGUAAUACGUAGGGACCUAGCGUUGUUCGGAAUUAUUGGGCGUAAAGGGUAUGUAGGCGGUUUAAUAAGUCAGAUGUGAAAUCCUCGGGCUCAACCUGAGGUCUGCGUCUGAUACUGUUAAACUUGAGUUACGGAGAGGAAGACGGAAUUCCCGGUGUAGGGGUGAAAUCUAUAGAUAUCGGGAAGAACACCAGUAGCGAAGGCGGUCUUCUGGACGUUAACUGACGCUAAUGUACGAAAGGUAGGGUAGCAAACAGGAUUAGAGACCCUGGUAGUCCUACCUGUAAACGUUGUAUACUAGGUGGUGGUUGUAUUGAUCCGAUCACUGCCGCAGCAAACGCAUUAAGUAUACCGCCUGGGGAGUAUGCCGGCAACGGUGAAACUCAAAGGAAUUGACGGGGGCCCGCACAAGCAGUGGAGCAUGUUGUUUAAUUCGAUGAUACGCGAGAAACCUUACCAGGUCUUGACAUAUACUCGAAUACCGUAGAGAUACGGUAGUUCUUCGGAACGGGUAUACAGGUGUUGCAUGGUUGUCGUCAGCUCGUGCCGUGAGGUGUUGGGUUAAGUCCCGCAACGAGCGCAACCCCUAUCCUUUGUUGCUAACAAUUCGGUUGAGCACUCUAAGGAGACUGCCGGUGACAAACCGGAGGAAGCUGGGGACGACGUCAAAUCAUCACGGCCCUUACGACCUGGGCUACAAACGUGCUACAAUGGUCGGUACAAAGAGUUGCGAUACAG